UGAAUGGAUGAUUUAAAAGCAACUUUCAAAG
rnacentral:piRNA from 1 species